rnacentral:snRNA from 1 species
AUCUCUUUGCCUUUUGGCUUAGAUCAAGUGUAGUAUCUGUUCUUUUCAGUGUAACAACUGAAACUCUCCAUUCAUUGGAGAAUUUAAUGUUACAAAUUUAUUUAUUUUUGGCAAAUUUCC